GCAGCACGGUGGUGCAGUGGUUAGCACUGUUGCCUCACAGCAAGAACAUUGCCUGUUCGAACCCGGCCUGGGGCC